AUUUCACUCCAUGACACUGAGCUGGAUGGGAACCCCAGAUGACUUCAACUUCACCUUCGGAAAAUGCCUUCGGAGUCGAUUGUGGAAUACAAAUUUUCAUCACUGAAGCUGCGCUCCUUCACUCAAAUGAUUCUGAUGGAAAAGAGAGACGUCUAUGCUUCCUACAUGUAGUCAGGAGGUUUAUAGUCUAUUGAUCAGCAACUGUAACCUGAGCUUCCUCUGGAUAAUUGAAACUCUUCCCAGUAAGUUGAGCCAUAGACUAUGGAGAAUCGAUGUAGCAACCCAAAUUCUACCCCUUGUGGUCAACAAUACUGAUCAAUCUUAGCAUCGAUAAAGAGGAACAAACAGAAAUCAUGUGCAUCCUGAGGUAAUGCAAGAAGAAAUACACAAUCCCCACCUCUGAAGGAUUCCUGCCAAAAAUAAAAUUUUACCAGAAUUUAAUAAAGUCUCUAGAUCUUAUGAUCUGCCUACAGGAAAUUAGAAAGAUAGAGGAACGAAUGAAAUGAUACCAUGAGGAAACCAUCAGCCACAUCCAGAAUGUGGGAAAUUCACCAAAUGCAAUGGACCCUGUUUGGAUUCCGAUUCCUACAAAUGAAGUGCAGAGAGACAUUUGAGACAAGAAGGAAAACUUGAACGUGAACUGCAUAUUAGAUGAUGCAAAGGAAUCAUUGUUAAUUUUGUUAGCUGCGAUAAUGGCAUUGCAGUGAUACAGAAAAUAAGUUAAGCACACUCACUGCUAGCAACAGUGUUUUUACAGACAUGAGAUUCCACUAUAUUACAUCAGAUGUUCAAGAUGAACUAUUUCAUAAACUGGGACAAAACAAGACUUCUCAGACGCUCUUGGCAGUAGUGUUUGAGGAUUGGUUAUCUUUCAGUUGUGAACUGCAAAGCGGAUGAUGAUUGUCCAACCCAGAGAUGACAGGAAGAUUUAAAUGUUCAUAGCAUAAAGCGCCUUGAUAGAGGGAAAAGCAGUAUUUCAACCCAUUAACUGAAUUAGCAAUAACUAGAACUUGAAUCAGAUGGUGCAUGAUGAAGAGAGACCUAGAGCCAAAAUGUUGUUGGGGGCACAUAAUGAAGUUCCUUCAGCCAAAUUGUGUUAAUGGGUGCUGGGAAGCUCUGAGAUGCGCUAAAGAGCAUCCUGCUGACCUGUGCUUCUACCAAGACACUUUAGCUGGGGGAAAUGGCACAUUUUGCUUACAGAUCUUUUGCAAAGUAAAAUAUGACAAAAGAAAUGCAACCAAUCAGUGACUCAAUCAAUAUUUAAUGAUUUUCAGCUUAAUAACUUCAUUUAGUGAUAUAAAGGCAUUGGUAAUGUUAUUUAAAAAAAUACUCUUCUUUUGUUGGAUUCCUGCCUACAUAGCUUUAAAAGCAUGGAUAAGGUCAUUUCCUUCUCAUUAGGGUUAAAACUACAAGGAGAAAUCCCUUCAACCUACACUGUGACUUGGCUUCCAAUAUUUGACCUCAAUCCACGCCAUUGGUUUAAACUAAUCAAGACAGAAAUAGCAUUCAGGCAGAGGAUGAAUAUGAUAAACUGGGGAGAUUUGAGGCUAUAACUUCAGUAUAUUCACACAUCUGUGCAAAGGUCAACUGUUUCAUCAAAGCAAUGCUCUGGCCAGGCAUGGUGG
rnacentral:lncRNA from 10 species